CGAGCACGCGCGUGUGGCAUAUCAAUAAGCGGAGGAAAAGAAACUAACAAGGAUUCCCUUAGUAACGGCGAGUGAAGCGGGAAGGGCUCAAAUUUGAAAUCUUCAAGGUUCUACCUUGACGAAUUGUAGUUUAUAGAAGUGUUUUCUGUUAGUAGAGUGGCAAAAGUUCUUUGGAAUAGGACAUCAUAGAGGGUGAGAUUCCCGUAUUUGGUCAUUCCUCUCUAGCUUUGUGAUACACUUUCAACGAGUCGGAUUGUUUGGGAAUGCAGUCCAAAAUGGGUGGUAAAUUUCAUCUAAAGCUAAAUAUUGGCGAGAGACCGAUAGCGAACAAGUACCGUGAGGGAAAGAUGAAAAGAACUUUGAAAAGAGAGUUAAACAGUACGUGAAAUUGUCAAAAGGGAAGCGUUUGACACCAGUGUUGUUUUUCCGAAAAUCAAUUACGAAUGUUUUGUUUUUAGAGAGUUAUGACUUCAUCGGCUUGCUUCUUCUUUACGAAACUUUCUUAAUGCACUUUUCGGUUAACAAGUCAACAUCAAUUUCUUUUGUUGUAAAAGGGUAUGAGGAAGGUGGCUUUCUUUUCGGAGAAAGUGUUUAUAGCCUUGUACCUCUGCAAUCGGAGAGAUUGAGGUCUGCAGCGUAGAUCCUUCGGGGUUAGAUACAUUUGUGCUAAGUUAUAGCUUUUCAUAGACAACUUGUUGGACUAUGUUAAGUCUUGUAGCUUACUCGCCUACUGCUAUUUUACCUACGCUUAGGAUGUUGAACUCUAUCACACACAG
rnacentral:rRNA from 1 species